CCGAGCUGCCGUUGUGGCAAAUGAUUGAAAUAAUAUUAACAAAUGCACAACUAUUGUAUGUACCUAACAUAUCCUCCAAUAUAUACAUACAUGAUAUUAUUUUAUAUAAUUAUCACCAGUAAAAAGGAUAUGGAUAUUGAAUACAAUUGUGGACUCUUAUGCCAUAGUGAAAAGUUGUAUCCAAGCACCUUUGAAGAUCCUGGAAAUAUAUACAAAGAUUAUUGAGUUUAUACAAAUAAAGCAACGAGUAUCAUUUUACA